UGUAUGUAGCUUGCUAGUGUUGUUUUCUUUUUGUUUGUUUCAAGUUAUAAUUAUACUACCGGUAGCUAACUUGCACUUGUGACCAUUUCAUGCCAUGUCUUCUAGUUAGUCUGAUAGUUUUUUUGUGGAAUGCCAUGUUUCCCAGUUUGUUCAUGUAAUUAUCUUCUGUGUUAUACAGAACCUGGCUCUGGAGCUGUCCUGGGGUCAUGAUACCCAUGUGUUCCUCAGCUGGACCAGAAGCAGAGGCACUGCCAACGAGGAGGACCAUAAAGUAGAGUUGAGCAGGCAACUGGGAGAGAAGCUUGGACUCAAAGAUGGAGAGCAGGGCUUCUUGCGGCCAUGCCAGCAGGUCCUGUCUGUACAGCAGGUGUUUGUGGACCCACUCACCUCUGACGACUUGGAGAUCCUGGAGCUCCACAGUGCAGCAGCUCCUGGAGCAGAAUAGAGUGGUGUUUCCUGAUGCAGUGUUUCCUGUGUGGGUGGACCAGAAAACACUCAUCUACAUCCGAAUCAGGUCCUCUCUGGAGAGCAUUCAGAAGACUGGACUUCCUGUACAACAAUGUCCCAACGCUGCUGGCCUCCAGUGCCCCCAGGGCGGGAUAGCAAUCCUAAAGAACAUGGUCAGUCAAGGUGGUGUGUCACCAUACAGAGGAACUGAAAGAGGAAGAGAGGAAGAGCUCCACAGUGCAAGGGUCUGGGUGAUUACAUGUACAUUAGCCAUGGUCUAA
rnacentral:lncRNA from 1 species